UUCUGUUCAUAGCUUUUCCUUGCAGGGGUUGUGCUGGGUCUGCCUCUGGCGAUGUCUGCCUUGUGUUCCUCUAUCCUCUUCUUCAGAUUUCUUUUUGUGCUACCAACGUAGCAUUGCUCCCGGUUUUCGUUAUGGUUGUACAAGGGAACCGUAUAUAUCCCCGCCUUUUGAUCUUCUGGUAUAGGGUCUUUCUCAUUCCGUAGGAGAUCAAAAACUGUACGAUGUCUUUUUGGAGCAAUUGCACAGGCUUCAUCAUUCCUGAGUACCUGGCAACUAUGUUGACGAUAUCUUUGUUGUACGUGAGGGUUACAAAUUUAGGCCUAUCCAGUAAUCGACGUGUGUGGUCACCAUGUUCAAGGUUUUGUAGCAAAGUUAGCUGUUUUUUCCUGUUAUUACCUUAUAGGGGUAGCCAAAUUUUGACCCUACAU
rnacentral:lncRNA from 1 species